GGGUCAGUAGGUUGGUCGUGCCACCGGUACGUACUGGACUCACUGAUUCCUCCUUCCUGAAGAACCGUAAUGCCAUUAAUUUGGUGUUGCGGGGGAAACAGGACUGUUACUUUGAAAAAAUUAGAGUGUUUAAAGCAAGCUAACGCUUGAAUACAUUAGCAUGGAAUAAUGAAAUAGGACGAUCGAUCCUAUUUUGUUGGUUUCUAGGAUUGACGUA
rnacentral:rRNA from 1 species